rnacentral:rRNA from 1 species
AGAACGAACGCUGGCGGCAGGCCUAACACAUGCAAGUCGAACGGGGUAGCAAUACUCUAGUGGCAGACGGGUGAGUAACACGUGGGAACCUUCCUUUAGUAUGGAAUAGCCCGGCGAAAGCCGGAUUAAUACCGUAUACGCCCUAUGGGGGAAAGAUUUAUCGCUAAAAGAUGGGCCCGCGUAAGAUUAGCUAGUUGGUGAGGUAACGGCUCACCAAGGCUACGAUCUUUAGCUGGUUUGAGAGAAUGAUCAGCCACACUGGAACUGAGACACGGUCCAGACUCCUACGGGAGGCAGCAGUGGGGAAUAUUGGACAAUGGGCGCAAGCCUGAUCCAGCCAUGCCGCGUGAAUGAUGAAGGCCUUCGGGUUGUAAAGUUCUUUAGUGGAGAAAUAAUGAUGGUAUCCACAGAAAAGCCCCGGACUAACUUCGUGCCAGCAGCCGC